GGACCUGCCAGCACGUUCCCAGAACCCUGGCGUCCACCCCCACCCUAACGCAGUCCCGGCACCACCGCCUGCCUCCCCCACCGGCGGUGCCCCGGGACCCAGGCGUGCGGAGCACCGGCCCCACACCUCUUUUUUCCGGAGCCUGCCAGUCCUGUGCCCGGGUCUUGGCUCUCACGGAACCCCGACAUAGCCGGCCAUCCCCACCCGGCUCUGACCGCACAGACAGGCAAUCUCGGCACAAAGAGGAGACAGCCCAAGGGAAGUGCUUUUGAAGAAAGGAUAGGACUGAAGAGGAGUUAACAAGGGAAUCUCAAGCAGGACAACGUGAACAAAGUUGCAACGGCCUCCUUCAGAGCUGGGGAAGAGGAUUCAUGCUGCGUCUCGGCGGCUUUCACGGUUCUAGUUCCCUCUCCUGGACUUCCCCUGUCAUUUGUCUCCAAGCCCCGCCCCCGCUCCCUCUGCUCCGGCUCCACCUUCCUACCCCAGAGCUCAUCCUCGGUCCCUCCCGCUCACCAGGACCACCAGACUCCGAGAUUCCUCCAAGAAGUGGCCGAAGGGAGGUAAAGCGCACGAACUCCACUCCAGUGCCAAAGGCCAGGAUGAAAGAGGCGAGGGCAGCAGGGACAAGGAGCAGUGCAGGGGCCAUGGCGAGAAAUGGAGGGGUGGGGAAAGGGGCGGGUUUGGGAUUCCCGCGGCCGCAGGCUCCGCCCCGACCCCGCCUCCCGCCUGGGACCCUGCCCAGGAGGGCGGGGCUCCCGCGCGCCGACGCCCAGGCUUCCGGCCGGCGCGCGCGGCUCUCUCGCACAGAGCUUCAGGGCUGAUCCCUAAGUGCCUUUCCCCGGUCUGCGAUCUCCGCGUCACAGAAGGGAAUGUUAGAAUCCCAAGUGAGAGGUGAGAAGGGCAGCGGUUGUUCAGUCAUGCACGUGGUUUGAAUCGCAGCUGGGCUAGUUUUCGCAUCUAAAAUGAAGACAGUUCCUCUCUUGCAGGGUUCUUGCAGAAACGGCAUUAUGAUCCCACCUUCCUUUAACAGCUUUGACUAGAAAACAGCCAGAGUCAAGAGGUUACAAAGCCUCAGCUAACACUUAUAAUGAACGGUGAGAGAACGGAAGACUGUUGACCCAGGCUGAGAACCCAAAGCUCUGAAUCAUCCAUUACAGCUUGUUAGAUGAAAAAGAGUGACUAUUUUACCACAAACGCUCAGUCUGUAAUUUAUUAUAAAGCUGAUUUGUUGCCUCUCCACUUGCUAAGGGGAGAGAACUUGUCUGUAACACUGAAAGAUUUGUUCUAUUAAUGCCAAAGGCUGUUACUUUGUAAACAUGAGAGUAACAACAUGUUAAAAUAUUUGUGAUAGAAAACUUUAUUACAGUUGUAAACUUUGUAGUAUGUUAAUUUUAUCCAAGCUUGUGAUAAUUAACUACCUAUACAACCCCAUUAGACUCCACUUACUAGUCAGAAAGCACUAAGAUCUUUUGUCCAAAAUUUUCCCUACAGACCUGUUUGUAAUACCUACAAGACUAACAUUCACAUCUAAAAAUCAAAGUAAAGUAAGGUUUUUCUCCAUUAAAGAUCAUGUAGCUAAGGACCUGGUCACAGUAGCUAUGACCAUAGUAAGGAACUUAGAGAUCAUGAAGCUAAUUCCCUCAGCUAAUAGAAGAAACAUAGGCCUAAAGAGAUCAAGAAAAUUUCCCACAGGCUCUACAUUCCUUCUCCCUCCCGGAGGCUUAGUAUUCCCAUUCUCCUCCGAAUCAGUGCUAUUUUAUACUGUACCAGACAUCAUUAUGUUUUCCCUCCUGAUUCACUCUCCAUCCUGCUUUCUGCCUCAGGAAGUUGUCCUGAAUGGACUACAUCAAAGAAAAUCACAGCAUUUGAGGGAAGCCUUUCUAUGUAACUGUUCCCUCCUCUCAACCUUUUGGGUUUACAGGUGGCCACAACAGAGCUGUGGGUACUGGCAAUAUUCUUUGUGAUUUCUCUACACUCUGCCUACUUAUAAUUUUCACUUCAUUAAACUCUCUCCAAAUUAUCCUGAUUUGACUGUGCCAUAGUUUCCUCUUAGGAUCCUGACUGACAGAGACAUUUAUUACACAAUGUGCUAUGAGCUGUAGGGUUCAUUGGAAGUGUAAGAAAAGAUCUCUCUUCUCUAGGAAUUUAAAUCGGGGCACUUAAAUUGUACCAGUCAUGAAGUGGGUGUGCACAUGAGUGCUAAGUGGGGCUAUAGAGACAGCAGGUGCUGUAAGGAAUCCAGUGGACCUCAAGGACACAGGCAGCUUCACAAAGUACAAGGCUUUGAGCAGUGCAAGGGGACUAAUAUUUAUCUGGGUCCUACUGUGUGCCACACCCACUAUGGCUAUGCUUAAUAUAUAUUGUGAGAUGAGGUAUGUCUAAAAGCCAGCAGCACAGUGUUUGGCAAAGCUCAUGCUGUUUCUACUACACCAAAGUUUUCCAAACUUAAGUAUAAUUUACCUGCAGAAAAGUGCCCAAAACUAAUCAGUAAUUUUUAAAUUGAAGUGAAAUUCACAUAACAUGAAAUUAACCACUUUAAAGAGAACAGUCCAGUGUCAUUUAGUACAUUCAUAAUGUGUGCAACCACCACCUCUGUCUAGUUCCAAAGCAUUUUCUCUUCACCCCAAAAUAAAACCCUGUACCCAUUAAGCGGUCAUUCCCCAUUUUCUCUCCCUGCCAACCACCAUCUACUGUCUCUGUGGAUUUACCUAUUCUGUGUAUUUCCUACAGGUGGAGUCAUACAACGUGACCUUUUGUGUCUGGCUUCUUUUACUUAGCAUAAUGCUUUUGAGAUUCAUCCUCAAAACACCGUAGCACAAUUAGUACCUCAUCCCCUUUUAUGGCUGAAUAACAUUCAUUGUAUGGAUAUGCCACAACUUGUUCAUCCAUUCAUCUGCUGAUGAACAUUUGUGGUGUUUUUCAUCUUUCGGCCCUUGUGAAAGUGUUGACAUGAACAUUUGUAUACACGUAUUUGUCUGAACAUCUGUUUGGAUUCUUUUGGCUAUAUACCUAUGAGUAGAAUUGCUGCGUCAUAUGGUAAUUCUAUAAUUAACUUUUUGAGAAACUGUCAAACUGCUUAUCACGUGGAUGAAUCAUUUUACACUCCCAUGAGCAAUGUAGAUGGGUUCCAAUUUCUCUACAUCCUUGUAAUCAACCAACUUCUAAAAUUUACAAAAUAAAACUGUACUACACCA